AUGACCUUUCCGAUCUACUUAGUCCAUCGUCCGAUCGAUGCAUUCUCCUCUUGGCGUAGUGAUCCUUCCUCUCCUUCGUUUCAACAUUACAAAGUAUCUUCUUCAUCUCAGCGACGCUCUUUUUCAUUUGAAACUAGUAUCGCCGCCGUUCGCUUCAGUGGCGAGUUCCCCUUCGCCGGCUUGCUUCAAUUGCGGUUCCGCCAUGGUCUCAGUUUCGAGUUUCACUUCAACCUUCAAUUUGUCGAUGAUGAGAAACACGUAACCACUGGCGGUUUCUUGUCCAUUCCUCUUUUACUUCUUCAUUUGAUUUCUGCUGUGUUGCGGAUGUAG
rnacentral:lncRNA from 1 species